rnacentral:misc_RNA from 1 species
AUCCGUUUUUGAUACCUGCAAGAACACAGGUAGCACUUCAGAUCACACAUAGCAGACUAUUUAACAGGGCUGUGGUCUGUGUUUUGUGUACUUGCUCUAGCACAAACAUAUUAAUAUUGUGUGUGAAGGAGAUUCUUAUUAGUAUAAUUGUUUUUUGUUCUAAGGUAAACAAGCAGAUUUGACCUCAUGCAAUAAAAAGAUUGUUUUCCUGGAUCUACUCAUUUAACGAGUGCAGAAAUAGGACUGACCUAG